CUGAUUAUUAGCACCAUUCAUCGAAUGGUGGGUUAGCGCGCGUCUGAUAGCAGUGAUACGCAGUGACAAAAACCCGCCCCACGAGGCGGGUUUU
rnacentral:sRNA from 2 species